rfam:Triticum aestivum genome assembly, contig: Triticum_aestivum_CS42_TGACv1_scaffold_220887_3B
CAUAUACUUCCUCCGUUCAAAAAUACUUGUCAUUAAAAUGGACAAAAAAGGUUGUAUCUAGAACUAAAAUACGACCAGAUACAUCCCCUUUUAUUCAUUUUGAUGACAAGUAUUUCCGGACGGAGGGAGUACUUU